CGGGGCUCGAACUCACGGACCGCGAGAUCGUGACCUGGCUGAAGUCGGACGCUUAACCGACUGCGCCACCCAGGCGCCCCUGCCCAGUUGUUAUUCUUAAAAACGUAGGUUCCAAAACUUAAAGUGGAUCAUAGGUGUAAACAUAAAAUGUAAAACUUAUAAAAGCUUUUAGGAGAAAACAUUCAGGACCUAGAGCUCGGUGAAGAGUUCUUAGACACGAGACCCAGAAGCGCAUUCAUGAAGAAAAAAAAUCGAAAUUUGAUUUAACUGAAACAGAAAGCUUUUAUUUCAACAAAAUCUGUUAAGGGGUGCCUGCAUGGCUCAGUCGGUUAAGCAUCCGACUCCAGGUCAGGUCAUGAUCUCAUGGAUUGUGGGGUCGAGCCCUGCGUCGGGCUCUGAGCUGACAGCUCAGAGCCCGGAGCCUGCUUCACAUUCUGUGUCUCCCUCUCUCUCUGCCCCUCUGUCCUUGUGCUCUCUUUCUCCCUCUCUCUCUCAAAAAUAAAUAAAAACUUUAAAAAAAAUGUUAAGAGAAUGAAAAGCUGCAGACUAAAUUGCAGACCCGAUAUCUGAUAAAGGACUCCUAUCUGGAAUAUAUAAGGAACUCUCACAACAGAAGGAAGGAAGAGGGUAUAUAAAUGGCAGAUAAGCACAGGAGAGCAUCAUUGGCCAUUAAGGAAAAAUGCAAAUGAAGGCCAUGAUGAGCCAUCAUCACACACCUGUUAGGAUAGCUUAACUAAAAAAGAGUGCUGGGGCGCCUGGGUGGCUCAGCCGAAUAAGCGUCCCACUCUUGGUUUCACUCAGGUCAUGAUCCCAGAGUUGCGCGAUCGAGCCCUACAUCAGCAAGGUUCCAAAAAGAGUGCGGAUACCAAAUGCUGACAAGGCUGUAGAGAAGCUGAAUCUUUCGUACAUUGGUGGUGGCACUGUAAAUGGUACAGUUACUCUGGAAAACAGUUUGGCAGUUUCUUAAGAAACUAACAUACACUUUCUGUGUAACCCAGUAACCACGCUCCGCCUGGGCGUUUAUUCCAGAGAAAUAAAGCCUGUCCACACAAAUGUUCGUAACAGCUUUAUUUAUAAUCACCGAAAGCUAGGAAAAAGCCAAAUCUCACAAGUAUUAUUGGCUUAUUGAAUGCUAGAUUAUUUGAAUUUGUUGUCCAUCCAGGAUAUGUCACUUAAAAACAAACAACAACGAAAAAAAACCAGCCCAGAUCUCCAGUUUAAUGGAGGUUUCCAAGUCAUCAGAUGAAGAUCAAGGUCUUAGUAUAACUCCCCAUCCUUCAUUUUGGAAUUAAAAUAUUACACAAAAAUGGGUGAAAUAAGGAUAUGUGGUAAUACAUUUCUGACCUAUGGCGGUGGAUGAAGACAUUACUUCACUUGGUCCUGUACUUCGGGGAGUAACGGAAUGGAAAAUUAAGUAAGUUUUUAUUCUAUGAAAAAAACAAAUUAACCAACCACAAAAUGUCCUGGUGCCUGGUUAAACUGGUGCAUCCAUACCAUGGAAUACUACUCAGCAGUAAAAAAGGAACAACAAACUUGAUAAAAGUGAGUGGCUUGGAUGAAUCUCGGGGGCAUUAAUGCUGAGUGAAAUAUACAUAUAUGCAUCUAUCUUAUACAUAUAAAAAUCACAUGCUGUACAAUUCCCUAUCUAUAAUAUUCUUGAAGUGACAAAAUCCUACACAUAGGGAACAGAUUUGUGGGUGCAGGGGGUUAGGAAUGGUAAGGGGCAAGCAUGGCUGUAUAUGACAGGGUAGCUUGAGAGAGUUCCUAGUGGUGAUAGAAUAGUUCUUGGUCGCACUGGUGAUUAUGCAAAUCUAUAUACGUGGUAAAAUGGGAUGGAACUGUACAUACACGUGCCAAUGUCAGAUGCCUGGUUUUGGUUUUGACAUUAUGCUAUAGCUUCAGAAGAUGUAGCCAUCAGGGGAGACUGGGUGAACAGUACACAGGACUGUGGUGUACUAUCUUUUUAACUUCCUCUGAAUUUAUAUUCUGUCGAAAAGUUUUAAGAUGUCUUUAGUGGUGAACAAAGAAAAUGGUAACACAUGUUAAUAAA